rnacentral:rRNA from 1 species
AGUCCCGUAACGAGCGCAACCCUUGUCCUUAGUUGCCAGCACGUAAUGGUGGGAACUCUAAGGAGACUGCCGGUGACAAACCGGAGGAAGGUGGGGACGACGUCAAGUCAUCAUGGCCCUUACGUCCUGGGCUACACACGUGCUACAAUGGGCAGUACAAACGGUCGCCAAGCCGCGAGGUGGAGCUAAUCCGAUAAAACUGUUCGUAGUCCGGAUUGGAGUCUGCAACUCGACUCCAUGAAGUCGGAAUCGCUAGUAAUCGUGAAUCAGAAUGUCACGGUGAAUACGUUCCCGGGCCUU